ensembl:lncRNA
GGCAGGGGGCGGUCCCCCGGCUCCUGCGUCAGUGGGGCCCCUGUUCUCGCACCUUCCUUGACGUCAAACCUUAAUGAGAGCCGCAAGGCUGUGUUCCCCGGGGAUGUCUACGUGAUGAGGCGUGAUGCGGGACGGGGGACCUGCGAGUGACGCUCCCGCUCUGCUUAUCCUCCCGCAAAGGCGGGAGAGACGGCGGCUCCGAUUUCUGGCUCCGCGGGCGGCGGGCAGCGGCUGCUGUCUGGCCGACCUUGGGGUCCGGACGCCGCGGUGGAACCGAAGUAAAAGGGAGCGCAGUCCCCAGGUCCUCAGCUUUCACCCCAGGCCGGGAAGAAUUGGGGAAUCUUUCACCGAGAGGAACCAAAAUGGAAAUGUUACCGAACCGAACUUGGGUCUGCUCGCCUGCUGCACAGCAAAGCCAGUCUACUGACACCAGGUUGUAAAGGAAAGUACAGCGUUUAUUUGCAGGGUGCCAAGCAAGGAAAAAAGGCAAUUCGUGUUCAAAAGAACCGAACUCCCUGAUGACUUUCAGGAAGUGUCUUUUAAGGACAGCAUUUGGGAUGAGGGUUGAUGGACUUUUUUCUGAUUGGUUUGUGGUGAGAUAAUUGGGUGAUGGCUCAGAACUCUCAAUCAUUAGCCUUCUGGUUCCAGCCAGUCUACCUACUUUCAGCAUGUAGUCAGCUACACCCAUCCCUGGCCUGGGUGUGGGAGGGGCACCUUAGUUUCUGCAAAAAAAAAAAGCUGGAAGUUAUGCUUCAGAUUGCUACAUAUAUAUACACACAUACCCUACGGUUGUUUUAUUACUGAAAUAUUGUUUAAGCUAUAUUUACUUUUCUUGACUAACUGCUUUUCCUUUGUUUCUGCAUUCUCACUUCCCUCUUUGCUUUUUGAAACUCAGGGAAGGUCUAGGAGGCUAAAGCCUUUUUCUACAAACAAGAAAUCGGAGACAUGGAGGGGCUUUUGCACCUGGGAGGGCCCUUCAGGGUCCUGCUGGGUCUCAGAACCCGCCUUUUCUUUGAUACUUACCUCAAUCCUAAAGGGAGCAGGGGUGGAAUAAGAAAGGGAAUAAAGUUUUGGAUAGAAAGGUUAAUUAUAAAAGUCAUCUGAGGAACUCAGUUUUAGGGGGACUUGGUUUCGGAAACUCCUUGAGGGUAAAUCAAAUGUGUUUAUGAAAAUAUGACAAAAAAAAAAAGACUCGGAACUCAAGCUGACUUGUCCACAAAGAGACCUCAAUGAAGCAAAAAAGCCCAUCUUGACCUUAAGUCAAACGUGUAUUAAUUUGUAUGUUUUAAGUUCGAUAAAAUAUUAAGAUUAUAUGUCUAUAUAUUUUACAAAUCAUCUUAUUGACUAAUUUUUAAAAAGUUAACUCACCAACUGCCGGGUCUUUUCUUGUUAGGCAAGAAGACUUUUAUCUUACACUGAUAAAAUGAAAUAGUAUGUAGUCUUUAAAUAUUCUGUUUUGGAAUUGUAUAUAUUAUCAUAUAGAGGUAUCCAUCAUAUAUAGUUAAGAGAGAGGAGACUAUAAAAUAGAUUGGGUAGUACCAUUCCAUUUUCGUGAAAACAUGUUUAGAACAAGAUUAUAUGACAAAUGUGAAUGGUGGGUAGUGGGAUUAUGGCUGAUUCCUAUGCUCUUUCUUUCUUAAUUUUUAUAAUUGUGCUAUAAUUUUGUUUUUCAUAAUAAAUUAAGUUAAUAAAUUUCAUAAUAAAAUUAAUAAAAGUCAUUUCUUAAAAAAAGUUAAUGUGUGUUUUCCUAAUUUAUAAGCAUAAAUGGGACUAAGUCUUUGCUCUAAGGGAUACUGACUCUUUGAACUUAAAUGUUUUGGGUAUUAACUAAUUCUUCAAUAUUCUAGGAAAUGGUGCUGAAUAGUUUAAAGCUAUAUUCCUAAUCCUGUGAAAAACAUCUUUGAGUAGGGAAGAACUGUUGUUCUAGAAUUUUCUUAAAGCACUCUCUGAAUACACUGCUUUUCAAAAAAUUUAUAUGCUGCCUAAAGAUAUAGUCUAAAUCAGGGGUCCCCAAACUUUUUGGCAACUGGGACAGGUUUCGUGGAAGACAAUUUUUCCACAGACAAAGAAGGGGGUGAGGGAGAUGGUUUUGGGAUAAUUCAAGCAC